GAAGGUAUAGCACACAUGGUAGAGCAUGUGCUUAGCAUGCACAAGGUCCUGGGCUCAAUCCCUAGUACGUCCU
rnacentral:tRNA from 1 species